rnacentral:rRNA from 1 species
AUUGAACGCUGGCGGCAGGCCUAACACAUGCAAGUCGAGCGGAUGACGGGAGCUUGCUCCUUGAUUCAGCGGCGGACGGGUGAGUAAUGCCUAGGAAUCUGCCUGGUAGUGGGGGACAACGUUUCGAAAGGAACGCUAAUACCGCAUACGUCCUACGGGAGAAAGCAGGGGACCUUCGGGCCUUGCGCUAUCAGAUGAGCCUAGGUCGGAUUAGCUAGUUGGUGAGGUAAUGGCUCACCAAGGCGACGAUCCGUAACUGGUCUGAGAGGAUGAUCAGUCACACUGGAACUGAGACACGGUCCAGACUCCUACGGGAGGCAGCAGUGGGGAAUAUUGGACAAUGGGCGAAAGCCUGAUCCAGCCAUGCCGCGUGUGUGAAGAAGGUCUUCGGAUUGUAAAGCACUUUAAGUUGGGAGGAAGGGCAGUAAGUUAAUACCUUGCUGUUUUGACGUUACCGACAGAGUAAGCACCGGCUAACUUCGUGCCAGCCGCCGCGGUAAGAC